UCGUGUCUUGCAUAAUGUCGGCGGGAGCGACGACCUCCGCCGGUGCGGCACCGCGCGGCUCCCGACGUCGGGAGCCGACCUACUACUAUCAAAGUCUCUCCGCCGUCGUUGACGGUGACGUGCGGUUCGGCGAGGGCUGCGUGGUGCUGCCGCACGCGCGCAUUCGUGUCCCACGCGGCUAUCGGCUUCACGUCGAGCCGUUCUGCCUCUUCGAGGACUUUGCCGAGCUCAUCUGCGACGGUGCCGCUGAUGCCGCCGAUCAGCGACACGUGGGCGAAGCGCCGCCCUCGCCAUCCGCGAGGGCGGCGGUGGCACUGCACAUUGGAAGUCACAACCACUUCCAUUCCUACGCUCGUGUGCACUGCGCUGUCGCGGCCGCCACCUUGGCGUCAUUGUCGUCGGCGUCGGCGGCGGCGGCGGCGGCGGCGGCGUCGACGACGUGGCUGUUGAUGGGCAGCGGCAACGUUUUCCAUGCCUUCGCCUCCGUGCAGAUGACGCUGUCGCAGCCCUUGUCGAGCCUGCGUGGGACACCAGCGCCGCGGUCGCGGCAUUUCUUUGGGGACUACAACGUCGUCACAACGUACAGCAGCGUCUGCCUGCAGCAGGGCGCAUCAGCAGCGGCACCGCUGGCUGACGAGGGCGCAUCUUCGUCUAUCCCCUCCUCGCCCGCGGCGCCGCGCCCGGCAGCAUCAAACACGUUCCAGCACGUCAUCAUCUUCUCCGGUGAGGAGCACACUAAAGGCGCUGACGCAUCCGUUACCAUGGCGACGAGCGCCUUCUGUGUGCCCCGGUUUGGCGCCCGCAGCGUCGCGGAGCUGCCAGUGGUGAUCCAGCGCAUCACCGACGAGGCGACGGCGGACCCACCGGCGACGGCGGAGAUGGUGGGAAGGGCAGCGAUGCUGGAGCGCUAUAUCUCCGACGUGCACCCAGAUCUGCGCUCGCACGAAGAGACGCGCAUCGUCACGGAGGUGGAGCAUGCGUGUCGCUGCUACAUUCACCAGCUCCUCGACGAUGGCGGACUGCAGCCGGUCGAGGCGCCGUGCUGAGACGGCAGUCCAGUGCUGCCAGACGCAAAGAAGAGCAGAAAGAAACGGAGCUCAUGCACGCAGACGACACCGCCGUCAGCGGUGGCACUGUUCGCCGUGCUCCACCGUGCGACGAGGUUGACCCUUGUUCUUGGGUACGCCGAGGAGGCGCAUUGGGCGCGCACUUGCACGUGGCAUCGCCAUCGAUCGGCGGUCGCGCCACGAGAGGCGCCGGCACCGCCCGCUGAUCGUGGUAGUUGUUCCUGCCGUUGCUGCCGUGGUGGAAAGGCGGAAAGGCGCCCACUCUCCACCAGCGCGAAUGACCUUGGCGGCUUCUCAGCCUUUUCGUUCCCGCGAUAAGCUGAAGACUUCAUCACCGUGCCGCGCUGGCCCACGUUGACGAGCGCAACGCUUCAAGCGCGGGAACGAAGGCAACGGAAGGCGUACAUCUCUACGCCUGUACACACAUACCUACAUACUUGUAUCGCCCCGCUGUCCCUCGACGCAC
rnacentral:misc_RNA from 1 species